AUGAUCUGGUACAAAGCAUGGAAAUUGGAAAAAUGCUAAAAACCGAUUGAUAAUGAAUAUUAAGGGCCAAUACAAAGAAUAAAAAUUAAUUUUUUAUAAGGUUUAGAUAUCAAAGAAAAACAAACAUGAAAAACUGAAAUACUCACUAGUGCUGGUCUCUAGUUGCUAUAAACCUUUUUGGUGAAGAUUGUUUUAAUCGAAGUUAAGUACUAGGUCCAAAUCAAAUGCCAACUUAAUGCAUACAUGCAUCCAUUUCAUCAACACAACUGCCUAUUCAAAUGCUUAUUGAGUUUUUUUUUCCUGGAGAGGGUAAUCCUCAAGAUAAUGAAGUUCAAGAUCUUCCAUCAUUUCAGAUUCUCUGUUUACCUACAUUUGCCAAUCACUUAGCUUAGAAAAAUUUAUAGAAUGCUAUAACAAAAUUUUCUAAGCUACAAAUUGUGCAACAUUUAAUAGUCAUGAGAAAUAUGGACAAUUAUUGAAGUUCAUGAGAGAUAACCAAAUUAUUUUUAAAACUAAUGAAAAUAUAUAUUAUUUUUUAACCAAAUUAUUUUUAAAACUAAUGAAAAUAUAUAAUAUUUUUAGAAAAAUAAUAUAUAAAACAGAACACAGAAGACCAACCAGAAGCUGAACCAAUACAAGGCGUUUGAACAUAAGAACAAAGGUUACAUGAAAGUAAGCUAACUAUCAAGACAACACACAACAUAAAUGGACAAAGAUAUUGCAUGAUUCAUAUUGUAGUACACCUAUUUAAAUAUGUGUGAGGCUCUAAAAAUCCAAUAAAAGAAACAGAGAAAUUACAUCAAAAAGUAAUAAAAGGUUCAGGAACUUAUCAAACUAGAAUAUGAAAACAGUAAUCAACAAAAUCCAAAAAACAAACCUGAGAAAAUGGUGAGCAAACACUUUAUAGCCUUGACCCCUUUAUAAUUUCGUCAUUCAACAAACCAAUAAAAGCUUACAUGAUUAUCUCUAUUUAUUUGCCUACAAUUCAGUAGAUCGAAAAGCUAAUCUGAAUGUAAACAUAACAAUAGAAACUAUUUAUUUGUAUACAACAUUAAAAUUCCCAAUACGACAAUAAGCCAAGAAAAAACCAACAUCAGGAGAAUUUGAACAAUCCAUACCUAAAACAACUUGAAAAAGGGCAUGUGAGUGAUAAAAUCCAACAUGUAACAGGGCUAAUCUCACCCUGAUUCAUUUUCUUUCCCAGAAAGAAAUUAAGUUACUAAAUCUAAUUCCUAAUUUGCUCCCUGAAAAAAUUAACAUAACAGUAGAAUAAUAAGAAUUUUUAUAUUCAAUGGAGUUAGGGUUUACACUUGAAUACGAGGGGAAACAGAUGAAAUCGUUUGGCAACAAAAGGAGAGUUGUAGGGUGUGGAGACAUGUUAUGAUUAUCACCUGGUUCUUUGAUUAUCGUGUUCAACUUUAGAAGUGGAGUAGAUGAAUCAUCUCCCAAAUGUUCUUACAUAGAAACAAAUUGAAAGCAAAUAAAACACAAAUAGUUAGGCAAGCUAAUAGAAAAGGAAAGAGAAAUAAGAAGUUGAACCAGACUAUGGUACACAUUCUUUGAAUGAGGGGAAGGCGUAGUCAAAAAUACAAAAAGAAAAUGAAGUAGAGGAACUUGAAAAAUCAAAAACUAAAAAGAAACUUGAAAUCGACAACAGAAAAGCUAUAUAUAUAUAUAUAGAGAGAGAGAGAGAGAGAGAGAGAACCUGGGUGAUGAGGGCGGAGAAUUUGUGGUGGUAUGUUGCCUGUGUGAUGGAUGUUAGUAAACCUGCAAAUAUGAAACCAUUACAAGAUAUAAUAUUGUUAACUUACACCAAGACUAAAUGAAAACAGAUGCAAUUGACAACGGAUAGAGAAGGCAGAUUUGACCAUUGAUAACGACUAUGUUUAGUGGUCUAGGUUUUUCGCAUAGAGUAAGGUUGAAUAAGGAUGAGGAUUUGAUUGAGAACAUGAUAGUUAAUGGGGGAAGGGAUGUUCGGUGACCUUCUAUAGGUUGCAGCGGCGGCGGAAGGAGGGUGAGGAAGGAGGUGGUACGCUGAAGGUCCACCAGAAACUGAAGCGAGUAAGGAGAGAGAUAUAAGAGAUGUGGGUUUGAUGGCGUCUGAUGUAGUGUCGAUAAGGCGAGGGGUAAGAUAAGGUAAAGAUACGAUGAGUUAUACGAUUGUAAGCUUAAUAUUAU
rnacentral:lncRNA from 1 species